rnacentral:rRNA from 1 species
CGUGUAGGCGGUUGGUCAAGUCGGGUGUGAAAGCCUGGGGCUCAGCCCCCAGAAGUGCAUCCGAAACUAGCCAGCUAGAGCGCGAUAGAGGAGGGUGGAAUUCCUGGUGUAGCGGUGAAAUGCGUAGAUAUCAGGAGGAACACCGGCGGCGAAGGCGGCCCUCUGGAUCGUUGCUGACGCUGAGACGCGAAAGCGUGGGGAGCAAACAGGGAUUAGAUACCCUGGUAGUCCACGCCUUAAACGAUGGGUACUAGGUGUUCGGGGUGUUGACCCCUGAGUGCCGCAGUUAACGCAUUAAGUACCCCGCUGGGGACUACGGCCGCAAGGUUAAA